GGGGGAGGCCGGAUCCUGGGCUGUGUCCCGGCGCCCUGUGCUCCGGAGCCUGCGCUGGUGGAUUCGUGCUCCCGCCACACAGAUGACU
rnacentral:pre_miRNA from 1 species